GAUGAACGCUGGCGGCGUGCCUAAUACAUGCAAGUCGAGCGAACGGACGAGAAGCUUGCUUCUCUGAUGUUAGCGGCGGACGGGUGAGUAACACGUGGAUAACCCACCUAUAAGACUGGGAUAACUUCGGGAAACCGGAGCUAAUACCGGAUAAUAUUUUGAACCGCAUGGUUCAAAAGUGAAAGACGGUCUUGCUGUCCCUUAUAGAUGGAUCCGCGCUGCAUUAGCUAGUUGGUAAGGUAACGGCUUACCAAGGCAACGAUGCAUAGCCGACCUGAGAGGGUGAUAGGCCACACUGGAACUGCGACACGGUCCAGACUCCUACGUGAGGCCGCAGUGGGGAAUCUUCCGCAAUGGGCGAAAGACUGACGGAGCAACGCCGCGUGAGUGAUGAAGGUCUUCGGAUCGUAAAACUCUGUUAUUAGGGAAGAACAUAUGUGUAAGUAACUGUGCACGUCUUGACGGUACCUAAUCAGAAAGCCACGGCUAACUACGUG
rnacentral:rRNA from 1 species